rnacentral:rRNA from 1 species
GACGAACGCUGGCGGCGUGCCUAACACAUGCAAGUCGAACGGAGAAUUUUAUUUCGGUAGAAUUCUUAGUGGCGAACGGGUGAGUAACGCGUAGGCAACCUACCCUUUAGACGGGGACAACAUUCCGAAAGGAGUGCUAAUACCGGAUGUGAUCAUCGUGCCGCAUGGCAGGAUGAAGAAAGAUGGCCUCUACAAGUAAGCUAUCGCUAAAGGAUGGGCCUGCGUCUGAUUAGCUAGUUGGUAGUGUAACGGACUACCAAGGCGAUGAUCAGUAGCCGGUCUGAGAGGAUGAACGGCCACAUUGGGACUGAGACACGGCCCAAACUCCUACGGGAGGCAGCAGUGGGGAAUCUUCCGCAAUGGACGAAAGUCUGACGGAGCAACGCCGCGUGAGUGAUGAAGGAUUUCGGUCUGUAAAGCUCUGUUGUUUAUGACGAACGUGCAGUGUGUGAACAAUGCAUUGCAAUGACGGUAGUAAACGAGGAAGCCACGGCUAACUACGUGCCAGCAGCCGCGGUAAUACGUAGGUGGCGAGCGUUGUCCGGAAUUAUUGGGCGUAAAGAGCAUGUAGGCGGCUUAAUAAGUCGAGCGUGAAAAUGCGGGGCUCAACCCCGUAUGGCGCUGGAAACUGUUAGGCUUGAGUGCAGGAGAGGAAAGGGGAAUUCCCAGUGUAGCGGUGAAAUGCGUAGAUAUUGGGAGGAACACCAGUGGCGAAGGCGCCUUUCUGGACUGUGUCUGACGCUAAGAUGCGAAAGCCAGGGUAGCGAACGGGAUUAGAUACCCCGGUAGUCCUGGCCGUAA